UNCCUUAGCCAGCUCUGGAGUCUAGUGGU
rnacentral:piRNA from 1 species